rnacentral:rRNA from 1 species
ANUNANCNANACNANANANACGANCCCCCCNGNAAUGUCCCCACCCNGUACGGAGCCNGGGNGGGGGCGAUCUCCAGGCCGCGGNCAAUUGNGGCGNGCGCCCGCCAAAGGCCCCCAAACCCUGAACCUGGAACGCGGCGUCCGAGUACUAUCUAAUAGUUAAAACUUUCAACAACGGAUCUCUUGGUUCUGGCAUCGAUGAAGAACGCAGCGGAAUGGCGAUAAGUAAUGUGAAUUGCAGAAUUCAGUGAAUCAUCGAAUCGUGUUGAACGCACAUUGCGCCCCUUGGCACGUCCGAGGGGCAUGCCUGUCCGAGUCGUCAGUGAGGCCAAGUCAAGCCGUUGUCGUGGUUAGUUAGGCCGUGCCAGCGAGGUGCAGGCCCCAAAGCUCAGCGUGCGGCGCCGCGCGGCGUCUGAACGGAGUAAUCAGCCUCCGNGGACGUGACGNCCGUCGGUAGGUGACCAGGAACCGCAACGUCGAACGUGGUUGACCGCUGGAGCUGGAGUAG